GGUUGGGGGACACUGGGGGUGGGGGUGGCCGCAGGGGCCCAGGGUUUUCAGCCCCUCCAUCCCUCCCUGCAACCCCUUCCUGAUCCCAGGUCCAGGCUCUGGCCUGGCCCAACCUGCCACCCUCUUACUGAGGGGGCUGCCCCAGGCAACAGUCACAAAGGCCUGGGUGCAGCCAGGGCGGUCACAAUGGGCCCCUCCCACCUGGUCCUGAAGCUGCCCCGCCUGAUGACCUCACUGCCUCUGACCCACUGACCCACCAUGCGAGUUUUCUUUCUUUCUUUCUUUUAUGGGAAGGGGACUUGCUCUGUCACCCAGCCUAGUUAUAAAACAGAUAAUACACACACUCACAGUGUGGAUUCAAAAAGUAUCAAACAAUAAAAAUGGUGUCCAAGCUUUUCCCACCUUUAUCUCCUGUCCCUGCAGACAGGAGCUUCCUCUUUAAGCUCCUAGAGGUGGGCUGCCGUCCCCUGCCCCUGGUUCACACAGAAGAGGUCAUCCUGUAGCCCAGCUUUGCUUUUCACCUAAUAUAUCUCUGAGGUUUUAAAACAUUCUUUUCUAGCUAUGUAUUGAAUAUUUACAUUAUGCCAGAUCCAGUACAUGCCAUUGUUAUCCUCUGUUUUUUUUUUUUUUUUUGAGACGGAGUCUUGCUCUGUCGCCCAGGCUGGAGUGCAGUGGCGCAAUCUCGGCUCACUGCAAGCUCCGCCUCCCAGGUUCACGCCAUUCUCCUGCCUCAGCCUCCCGAGUAGCUGGGACUACAGGCGCCUGUCACCGCGCCCGGCUAAUUUUUUUGUAUUUUUAGUAGAGACGGGGUUUCACCGUGUUAGCCAGGAUGGUCUCGAUCUCCUGACCUCAUGAUCCACCCAUCUCCACCUCCCAAAGUGCUGGGAUUACAGGCGUGAGCCACCGCGCCUGGCCUGUUAUCCUCUGUUUAUGGGUGGGAAAGCUGAGGCAGGAAGCCCUUUAGUCACUUGCCGAAGGCCACGCUGUUAACGGUCGGACCAGAUUUGGGUGGCGGAAGAGAACUCAUCCGACAGUAGGGCCAGAUUCACGCCCCAGGCCCGUUCCCUCCUGCUCCCUGGUGCUCCUCACACCAUCGGCCCUGCUGCCCCUCACUGCCCCUGAGUCCCUGUGCCCGUGUCCUCCUUCUUGAACCCAUCAGCCGUCAGUUAACCCUCAGAAAGCUGGCUCGGAGAAGUCCUCAUAUGGUAGGAAGAGCCCCGUUCCCUCCUCUCCCGGUGUCCUGGCCCCCCUGCAAGGUGACUUCACCUCCUACAUCAAGAGGCGGGUACUGGUCUCCACCUCUGGGCUCUGGGCCGGCCUCGGAUGCACUUGGCCAAUGGGCUGCUCCUAAGCUGCUGUGGGCAGAGGUUGGCACGACACUUGUGCGCUGGGCCUGGACCUCUCUUGCUUGGCUCUGGGGACUGUCCUCCCUGCAGGAGGCCUGGGCUGGGCUGCAGGAUGAGAGGCCAUGGGUCAGGAGAGGCUUCUGUCGUCCCAGCCGGUCCCCAGCUGCCUAAAGAUGGGUGGACAAGCCCAGCGAGGCCCCCAGAGAACCGGCCCAUACGUUAGCCAAGUUGCCGGCCAUGUACCAUCGAGCCCCGGGCUGUCAUGGUGGUUUUGCCACUGAGUUUUGGAGUGUGCUGUGACGUGGGAGGAGACAUUGAGAGGCCUCACAAGCCUAGAAGCGUCUUACCCUGACCUCACACCUGCUGGACUUCGGGCUGGGAAGAGAACUGGGGCCGAGGGCGUUUUCCCACAGGACUGGAAGGCCGGUCGUGGUCCUUGGUGGUGAGAGCUGGCCAGGCUGCCAGCCUUCUCCCCGGAAGCCUGCAGGGUCCCCUCUGAUCCCUGCGCCUCUGGGGGUCACACCAACUGUGGGUCUUUCCUUCCUCACCACGCUGGGCACUUGGUGAGCACAUUCUGCCUUGAGACGGGGCAUUUCUUUGAUAACAUUUCUUCUCAUUUCCUGCUUGUUCUGGAACUCCUGUCAGUCAAAUGUUGGGCCUUUUGAAUUGAUCCUGUGAGUCCUUCUUUCUACCUUUGCUUGUAGAUAGACUUCCCUGAACCCAAACACAAACACUUUCUCUCUGCUUUUUAAAAAAUUGGUUUUGGGGCCGGACGUAGUGGCUCACGCCUGUAGUCGCAGCACUUUGGGAGGCCAAGGCAGGCAGAUCACUUGAGGUCAGGAGUUCUAGACCAGCCUAGCCAACAUGGUGAAACCCCGUCUCUACUAAAAGUACAAAAAUUUGCUGGACGUGGUGGUGUGCGGAUGUAAUCCCAGCUACUCGGGAGGCUGAGGCAGGAGACUGGCUUGAACCUGGAAGGCGGAGGUUGCAGUGAGCCGAGAUCAAGCCACUGCCCUCCAGCCUGGGUGACAGAGCCAGACUCUGUUUUAAAAUAAAUAAAUAAAUAAAAAUAAAAAAUUGGUUUUGGAUUUUAGCAGUCCUGUUUUUCAUUUCCAAGACAUUUCCAUUGUUCCCUGAGCUCCCCUCUUCUUGUUCCAGAGAAUUCUGUUCUGCUCUUAGGGAUAAAGUGGCUUUGGGGGGAGGCGAAUCUUUUGCUUUCUGCAUUUUCUCUCUUGCGGUUCUUUUUUGUUUGUUUAGUCUUGGAGCUUCACAUGAGACUCAGUGCUCAAAUGUCUGGCUUUUCUUUCUUUUCAAUCCCUGUUUAUAGGGGAGACAGGCAGAGCUGCCGGGCACUCCUCUUUCCUUGUUAACUUGAGGAAGCCGGACAGCCAGGUCUUGGAAGGGAGGCCUCCUGCCUCCAGGCGGCAUCUCGGGCUGCAGGGCUGUGGUCUGGAGUGCGGACAGUACCAGCUCCCACUGCUGUCCUGCCAUGCUUGUUCGCAGUACUCGUCUCCUCACACCAGUGACGAGGCCACUGCUUGCCAGCCGCUUGCCUUCUUCCCGCCAGGCUGUCCUGCUACGUCAGCCUCCGCUCUCCACCUCAAGAAGUGUCUCGAAAUAUCUUCUCUGCAGAUGACCUCUCUCCUGUUCUCAGUGCCACGUGGGGCCUCCCCAGCAGAGGCGGCUGGACACCUGGCCCUGGCUGCUGGAGGUUGUUUAGCUGCCAGAGGGUGGCGGUAGCCUCCAGGACCCUCCCCUGGCCUCUGCCCUGUUCAUCCUUUGCCGGAAUGUCAUGGGUUUCAGGAUGUGCUGAGCUCCGAAACCCCAUGGGGCAACUUGGGAUGGGGGCUAAGGAAGGCCUCUUGGAGGAGCCCUGAGGCGAGGUGGCCCUGGGGUGGGGUGGAGGAGGCCCUGAGCAGCAGGGGAGGGGGUUGCACCCUGCUCUCUGUGUCCCUGAGUGAAUGGGGCAGGGGCUGCACCCUGCUCUCUGCGUCUCUGAGUGAGUGGGGCGGGGGCUGCACCCUGCUCUGUGUGUCCCUGAGUGAGUGGGGCAGGGGCUGCCCCCUGCUCUCUGCAUCUCUGAGUGGGAUGGGGGCUGCCCCCUGCUCUCUGCGUCCCUGAGUGAGUGGGGCGGGGGCUGCCCCCUGCUCUCUGUGUCCCUGAGUGGGGUGGGGGCUGCCCUCUGCUCUCUGUGUCCUUGAGUGAGUGGGGUGGGAGCUGCACCCUGCUCUCUGUGUCCCUGAAUGAGUGGGGUGGGGGCUGCACCUGCUCUGUGUGUCCCCAGCCUGCUAAGUGCCCCACAGGGGCCAGGAUGCUGAGGAGUGAGAGGUCUUCACAGAGACAGGUGGCUCCUGUAAUAAGGAAGACAACACUGGCUUCCUGGGCGAACAGCAGGGCGGGGUCCUUAGGUCCCACUGUAGGUGCCCAGGCCCGGAUGAGAUUCCCCAGUGGCCCUGAGGGGGCGCCCGGGACACCCUGGAUGGCCCAGUGUCCUCCCGUCACCCUCGCCCCUGGGCACCAUCCUCCUUGGCCUGGAAACCCCAAGCUCCCUGACGCCCCCGCCCCUCUCCCCGGGCCUGUGCCGGGGAAGGAUACUGCUGCUCCGUCAGUCAGCCAUAGAGCCCCUCCUCCCCCAGCCCCUCUCACCCCUCCCUGUGGUCCUUGCCAAUCGCCCUGAGCCCGAAAAGGUGGGAGAUUCUUGGAGAGAUGGGGCCCUGGAUCCCCGGCCCUGGAUCCCCAUCCCUGGGGUCCCCCACUCACGGGGUCAGAUACGCUAACAAAGGCCAAGCGCCCUGCCAAGCGGUGUCCUGGAUUGGGGUGGGCGUGGGGGUUCGCCUCAGGUCCAGGCUCCGGGAUGUCGUGCAGGACAGGGCGCGGUUGCGGCGGGGGCACUGGCUGGAAGCCGGAACUCCCGGCCUCGAGGGCGGAAAGUGUGGCCAGCGCAGCGUGCUGGGGGGGCCAUGGCCCCGUUGCCAGGCAGCGCCUCCCUGGACGCCAGUUGCCAUGGAAGCCGC
rnacentral:lncRNA from 1 species